rnacentral:rRNA from 1 species
UACGAAGGGGGCUAGCGUUGUUCGGAAUCACUGGGCGUAAAGCGCACGUAGGCGGAUUUGUCAGUCAGGGGUGAAAUCCCGGAGCUCAACUCCGGAACUGCCUUUGAUACAGCAAAUCUCGAGCCCGGAAGAGGUGGGUGGAAUUCCUAGUGUAGAGGUGAAAUUCGUAGAUAUUAGGAAGAACACCAGUGGCGAAGGCGGCCCACUGGUCCGAGGCUGACGCUGAGGUGCGAAAGCGUGGGGAGCAAACAGG